rnacentral:rRNA from 1 species
UACGUAGGGUGCAAGCGUUGUCCGGAAUUAUUGGGCGUAAAGAGCUCGUAGGCGGUUUGUCGCGUCCGCUCUGAAAGCCCGGGGCUCAACCCCGGGAGGCGGGUGGAUACUGUCAAGCUCGAGUCCGGAAGAGGCGAGUGGAAUUCCUGGUGUAGCGGUGAAAUGCGCAGAUAUCAGGAGGAACACCAAUGGCGAAGGCAGCUCGCUGGGACGUGACUGACGCUGAGACGCGAAAGCUAGGGGAGCGAAUGGG